GCACCUGUCUCAGCUUCCAGAUCCAGACUCACAGCCACGCUGCCAAUUCCUGUCUGUGCAAAACAGGACACAGAGCCAUUGAGGAAACAGCCCUGCAGGGCCAGGAGAGAAGCACCAGGCUCUGGAUAAACACUCCGGGUGCCUGCUCCUCGGCACCGAGAUGAGGCCGCAGAGAUGAGGGGCAGCGGCCCCUUUUCUGAUCCUGUCAUCACUGCUGUUUAACAAGUGCACAGAAGACAAGUGCCCGCUAUUUGCCUUGUGCCUGUUGUUAGCAGAGGCAGGUCACCUCUAUGAGAGCAGAAGUCUAGGGAAGGAAGGACCCUGGAGGGGCCCCGGGACUUUCUCUUGCUGCACCCUUGUUAUUUCGCUCUUGGAGCUCAGGUAAAACUUUCCUGACUGAUGCCAGAGCCUCUGGGCCCAGUGCCAAGCCCGUCAGGUCUGGGGAACUUUAGGUGGAGGGACGCAGGGCUCCAGCCCCUCCGUCAGUCCUGCGGGCUCCGCAGUGAGGGGACAGUUGUCUGGAGGCCUCCAGAUGAGCCUGCUGGGCCCCUGUGGGGCAGGACAGCCCCGGGCUCAACACCAGGGUCGUCUGGGGACAGAUCCAGACCAGUGCUCCUUGGGCCCCUCCCUGCUGGAGUUGGCUUAGACUGGUUCGAGCCGGCCCAAGUCAGACCCUCUAACCUGGCAACGCGUCGUCAUGGCAACCUCAAACCGGAGGCUGCCCAUCGGCCGGGCCUGAUCUGAGUGAGGUAGGAGGGCCCUGGGCUGCGGAGUCAGGGACUGAGGCAGCCUUGUGGGUGCAGACAAGUGUGAGGCCACGCACGGUGUUGGGAGGCCAGGGGGGACUCGCAGGGCCCCAGAGUCCAGCCAGGAGCCCAGUGGGCUCCAGCAGAGAGCCUCCUGGGGAGAGGAGGCUCCCGCCUGGCUUCUGGCCAGGUUCCCCCUCCGCACCUGCGUUAACAGCCUGGCAGAAGCCAGUCCUGGACUCACUGUCCCAGGGGCCCGGCCAGGGUCUGAGCCAAGGGCGCACGUGCACCUUGGCACCGUGAGGGCAACUUCCCGGCUUCCCAGGGAGGUCCACCCUGGCGGCGAGAGCCGCCCCAGGGGCUCAGGGAGCAGAGCAGGACGCGCACCGUCUCGGCCGCCCACGCCUGGGCUUUACGGGGGAGGAGGGGGGACUCCACCUUGGCUCUGGGGAUUGUCGCCACCUGCCACUUGCAGGCCACUGAGUGUCCCGUGCUGGAGGCCUAGGCGGAAGGUGGCGUCAGCAGCCCCUGGGCAGGUGGCACUGAGCAGAUGGGGCAGGAAAAGAACAGGCAGCAGUUAGUGGAAAUGUUUUAAUUAGAGGAUGUUUAGAUACAGUGGUUCAUCUAAGGCCCACAAUUCCUCACUACCCGACGCCCCAGGCCGAGGGCACCCCCUUCCCUCACGGCAGAAGUAGCAUGACCACAGCUCAUUUCUCGGGUUACAAGAGUCACACCUUUGCUAAGCCAAGGCCUGUGGCACAAAAGGACAUUUCAUUAACUGAAGUCACACGACAAUGUGCUAGAAACAUUGGUUACUUUAGAAUGCUUUAACUAGAAAAUAUAUUGAAUUUCCAUAUAUAUUAACCAUAUACACGUGUAACUAUGACUAAGAGCAGCUCAGUUGUCACAAAAUAAGACGUCCUGGGAGAGGCUACCCAAACACCAGCCGCCGGACGCCCCUAAGGCCAAACGCAUCACAGACCUCCAGCCGCGAGCUCAGUGACUCGACCAGUCCCCGCUCCGUGAGCCAGCAAGGUGCUGGGGCCCCAGAGCCUUGGGGCCCUCGGGCUCGCUCCCAGCUUUCCUUGUGACCCUGCCGCCGCCAGGCGCUCCUCAUCAGGGCCCAGAUGACCAGUCCUUGAGCCCCCGUGGGGAUCACCCCACCCCGCCACAUGGGGGCUGAAGCCACGGGUGCAGGGCUCCGAGGGUCCUCAGGGUGGGAGUGGGAGGCCAGCUGGGGCAGACGGGCUCCGGGCCUCCAGUCCAGGCAGAGAGGCUGGGCCCCAUCUCAGCAGGGACAGACGCAGGGCACCAGCCCAGCCCUCUCUGCCACCUCCCGCUGAGCCAGGACCCUGGGCAGCAGGCUCAGGUUCCGCGGUGUCUUCUGAGAGCGCCACUCGGGCGGACCAAGUCCAGAUGCUUCUAGAGCGUAAGGGGGUGUCGUCCUGCUGCCAGGACUGCCUGCGCCCGGCGGGGACGCUGAUGCGCGAGCAAGGUGGGGCACGGCACUAAGCAGAGGCUCUGUCGCUGCUGGACAGGAGGCCACGAGCCCCCACAGGCUGGGCUCCAUCGCUGGGGCAGCCACCAAGGGAGCGAGCUGCUUGUGCGGCAGUCCUCCCUGGCGUGCAGGCUGCGGGAGGGUCUCGCCGCCAGUUCCAACCUGACCAGACCUGGACGCUCCGGCGGGUGCUCCGCCGCCAGGAGCCACAUGGGAAGGGGGUACCCAGGACUAUUUACAGAGGGCGGGGCCGAGCCUGGGGCGCUGGGCACACUGAGGCCACCUCCUUACUCUUAAUGAUGAUAAUGCCACAAAAACCUUUAUAUAAACAGUUUAUUUACUCUAAACAGCAACACAGACAAACGCCAUAUAAACACAAAGGAAGUGAUGCGGAGACGCGACGCUGGCUGACUGGAUCCGAGGCUCGUAAG